AGGUCGGCUGCUAUCUCAGCCCUAUAAAUGUACCCCUCCAAUCAAUGAAAGAUUAAGUAGGCAAGUAUCUUGCCCGUGCUUCCCACCAACUCAUCUACUAUUCACCCCCAACAGUACCGCACCUUCUCCACCAACAGCCCAACGGAGGCCAAGCGCCGGGGUCCUGGCCGUAGACCCCAAACCUAUCACUCUUCAUCUGAAGUACUUGCAGCACUACAGGAGGUUGAAGGAUUUGACUUUGCUAGACAUAUUACUGUGUAUAUGGACAGAUUACUGUAUUUAUGGCUAGUGCAUGGCCUAUGGCCUGCCAGCUAUAUAUGGUAGUGAUUGAUUAGGGA